AAUGUGUUUUCAUCAAUCAAGAACGAAAGUUAGAGUUUCGAAGGCGAUCAGAUACCGCCCUAGUUCUAACCAUAAACGAUGCCAGCUAGCGAUCCGCCGAAGUUCCUCCGAUGACUCGGCGGGCAGCUUCCGGGAAACCAAAGCUUUUGGGUUCCGGGGGAAGUAUGGUUGCAAAGCUGAAACUUAAAGGAAUUGACGGAAGGGCACCACCAGGAGUGGAGCCUGCGGCUUAAUUUGACUCAACACGGGAAACCUCACCAGGCCCGGACACCGGAAGGAUUGACAGAUUGAGAGCUCUUUCUUGAUUCGGUGGGUGGUGGUGCAUGGCCGCUCUUAGUUGGUGGAGCAAUUUGUCUGGUUAAUUCCGAUAACGAACGAGACUCUAGCCUGCUAAAUAGGCGUACUUUCCGGUAUCUCGAAGGCCCGCCGGUCGGCUUCGGUCCGCGUGUGGUUUUUACUACCGGCGUACAUAUAAUUCUUCUUAGAGGGACAGGUGGCAUUUAGUCGCACGAAAUUGAGCAAUAGCAGGUCAGUGAUGCCCUUAGAUGUUCUGGGCCGCACGCGCGCUACACUGAAGGGAUCAGCAGGUUUUCCUUGGCCGAAAGGUCCGGGUAAUCCGUUGAAGCCCCUUCGUGCUAGGGAUUGGGGCUUGCAAUUCUUCCCCAUGAACGAGGAAUUCCCAGUAAGCGCGAGUCAUAAGCUUGCGUUGAUUACGUCCCUGCCCUUUGUACACACCGCCCGUCGCUACUACCGAUUGAAUGAUUUAGUGAGGUCUUCGGACCGGUGCGCGGCAUUGCCGAUGUUGCUGGGAAGAUGACCAAACUUGAUUAUGGAA
rnacentral:rRNA from 1 species